rnacentral:rRNA from 1 species
UUGGGAACACUGAUAAACCCAGAGGCGAAAUGAAAGUGAAAGGCCGGCCUCGAGCCGGUCGCAGGGAAGAUGCGCGGGCGUCGUCAGACGCCCCGCCGCAUUCCCGAGGCGUUUCGAGAAAGCCCCCGUGCGAUUAUCGAGACGCACUGAGAGCGUACACGCUGGGACCCGAAAGAUGGUGAACUAUGCCUGGUCAGGUCGAAGUCAGGGGAAACCCUGAUGGAGGACCGAAGCGAUUCUGACGUGCAAAUCGAUCGUCCGAACUGGGUAUAGGGGCGAAAGACUAAUCGAACUAUCUAAUAGCUGGUUCCAUCCGAAGUUUCCCUCAGGAUAGCUGGCGCUCGAGAAACAUGACGGUCUCCGGACCGCCAUUCGCACAGUCUCAUCCGGUAAAGCGAAUGAUUAGAGGCAUUGGGGCCGAAAUGGCCUCAACCUAUUCUCAAACUUUAAAUGGGUGAGAUCUCCUUCUUGCUCGAAGAUGAAGUAGGAGCUCGGAUGGGAGUGCCAAGUGGGCCAAUUUUGGUAAGCAGAACUGGCGCUGUGGGAUGAACCAAACGUCGAGUUAAGGCGCCCAAUGAACGCUCAUCGGAUACCAUAAAAGGCGUUGGUCGCUCAGGACAGCAGGACGGUGGCCAUGGAAGUCGGA